ACGGACAGCACGGUGCAGUUGGCCGCCUUGGCUUGCAGGUCCUGCAGGGCGGGGCUGAGCCAGCAGAAGCCGAAGACGAAGAGCGACGUGAUGCCCGAGAUGAUGAGCAGCAAGCCCAGGCGGAUGCUUUUGUCUUCCGCUUCCGUGUACUCAUGAGGUCGCUGAGGCCCAGAGAAGUAAAGUGACUUUACUCAAAACGUCCUGUUUAUGUGAAACAGCUGCUGGGCAUCAGAACGUGAGACCACCGGCGGCGCCCAACCAGAUCGAAGCAGUGACCCACCUGGCUCCCUAUUUUGUCUCUUCGGUGGCAAGAAAAGAAAAAGGGAACUUGGAGUAACUUUGACGGUUGCCCUUGGUUGGUUAUAAUAAACUUACUAAUCCUUUUUCAAUGAAA